rnacentral:lncRNA from 1 species
CUCAUGCGUACUUCCAAUCACAUCUCCCUUCACAUGGGUCACUUUGUAGCCAAUCAGAUCCUCUCUUCCUUGCCCGGCUCCUGAAGCCUGGCCUGUUGGUCCCGCCGAGGCUGCCAGUGGCACCCCAAGGCACUCUGGGCAGAGGUUCCACUGCUCGCAGCCCAGCAGGCAAACGCUAGAACUCGCUAGCUCCUUUAUCGUUUCAAGAUGCGAAUGAAGCGUCCUCCUGUGGGGCUUGGGAGAUGGCUUCCAUGGCAACUGCCACAGAGGUGACAGGUCCGAGAAGCGUGGGAGAAUUCGCUUCCUGAGGUUAAACCAAGGACAGCUAGAAGACCGGAGGAAGUGAAAGAUCCAUCUCCCCUCCCCCGCCCUCGGAGCGCUUGUUCCGAGGAUGGUUCUUUGUACUGCCUGUGCUGUUAACAUGCUGACUUGUUUUUCUAUCCCAUCCUUUCCUGUCUUCAGUUUGUCUUUCUUCCCCUUUGGCACCUUGAAUUUGCGUAUCACCAAAAUUGUUAGCAUGCAAUCUCUGUAUGGGGUUCUCUUUUCUAGGAGACAUGACUGACUUACGAUGUUCAUCAUUCAGAGGUAACUGAUGGAUUUGAGAUUUUCUUUUCCUAUUUGAUUCAUCUUAAAUUGGCUUCUGCAGAGGAUGUGAGCUGGUGCAUGAUCAUCUACCUCAAUCCAAAGGAUUUGAGCAUUACUCUCCAACUACAAAAGACCUCCGAACUGAGAAGGAAUGAAUCUCUGACCCAUUUGUGAAUAAGCCAGGUGAACUGACUUUGUGCUAGAGAGGAUCAACUGGUUGAGAGUGCAAAUGAUGAUGGCCUUAAAAGUGUGAGACCGAGGGCCUUAUCAAACGCUCCGAGGAGCUGACUGCAGCGACGAUCACCCGGGAAGGAACACACCGGACAAGUUGGAAAGUAAAACAGACCUUUAUUAGUCUGGCCAGACGGCACUCCCAAAGCAAAGUAGCUAAGAGAGGCAACUGGCUCAGAGUCCGAGGCUGUUUUAUAGGGGGUUGAGGGGGAGGUUAACAUAUAGAAUUAAAGAAAAGAGGACAAAGGUUAGUGGUCGACUGUCACGUAUUGGUGGUCAGCAGACAUUUGCAGCUUGUUCUAUAGAUUGUGGUGUCCGGAACAUCAGUUCCAGGCAAACAAGGAGUUGAGUAGUUUACUUUGGGACUUUAGGUCUGUUACAGAUUUUAUCUAGUGUCCCAAAACUAACAAGCAUCUUUAUCCAUUAACUCACAUUUAAUCACAAUGGGGCUGGAGAAAAGGAACAAAGGUUAUGCAGUCCCACAAAAGUAUGUCUGAGACAACUUGAGAUCUCCAUACAUUCUGGAUUAAGGUGAAGGCAGAGUAUCCUGAGAUUACCACAAAAGCACUGAAAGAGGGCUGCUUUCAUUUCUAACAUUCUGUCUUUGUGGUGCAGGGUUUUCCACAGUGACGGCAGCCAAAACGAGAUUAUGGAUCAGUCUAAACAUAAGCAGCACACUUCGGGUGUCACUGUCCUUCAUCACCCUCAGAUGGGAUCAUUGAGUAGCAGGAAAUCAAGCUCGAGACUCCCACUGAUUCUGCAUUGUGUGAGGUGUGCAGUUAUUUCAUAAUCUAUUACAACAUAAUAAAAAUACAAAUAAAGCCUACAAUAAAUAUAAUGUACUUGAAUCAUUCUCCAUUAAUGGAAAAGUUGUCUUCCAUGAAACCAGUCCCUGGUGCCAAAAAAUUUGAAGAUUUCUGGCCUAAAAUAUAAUCUACCCUGGAGAAUGUUCCAUGUGCACUUGAGAAAAAUGCUGGGGAGAAUGUUGCAUGUGUGUAUGUCUGACUAUUAUGUCCAUUUAAUCUAUAGCAUUCACGUCUACUGUCUGUUGAUUUUCUGUCUGGAUAGUCUAUCCAUUGUUGAAAGUGGUUAUAAUGAAGGUUACUAUUACUGUAUUCCUAUUUCUCAUUCAGUUCUGCUCCUAUUUGCAGUAUAUAUUCAGCAGUUCUGAUGUUAGAUGCAUAGAUAUUUACAGCUGCUAUAUCCUGUCAAGGAACUGAUCCCUGUGUCAGUACCUAAGAACUUUCUUUUCCUCUUGCGACAGUGUUUGGCAAAAGGCUAUUUAAUCUGACAUAAGUAUAGCCACCUCUGCUUUCUUCAGGUUACAUUUGCAUGAAAUAUCUUUUUCAUCUCUUCACUUUAUACUACUUGUGUCUUUAAUGCUAAAGUGAGUCCCUUUGGGGCAGAGUAUAGUUGAGUGUUUUUAAAAAAUAUAUUGUACGUUGUAUUUUAAAAUGCACUUAAAAUACAUUAUAAAAUACCAGAAUUCAUUCUGUUUCUUUUGAUCAAAGGUUUUAAUAAAGUUAUAUUUAAAAUAAUUAUUGACAUGUAAGAAUUUACUACUGUAAUUUUGUUAACUAUGUUUUUACUAUUUUGUAGUGUCUUUGUUCCCCAG